UACGUAGGGGGCAAGCGUUGUCCGGAUUUAUUGGGCGUAAAGAGCGUGUAGGCGGCCAGACAGGUCCGUUGUGAAAACUCGAGGCUCAACCUCGAGACGUCGAUGGAAACCGUCUGGCUAGAGUCCGGAAGAGGAGUGUGGAAUUCCUGGUGUAGCGGUGAAAUGCGCAGAUAUCGGGAGGAACACCAAUGGCGAAGGCAGCUCGCUGGGACGUUACUGACGCUGAGACGCGAAAGCGUGGGGAGCAAACAGG
rnacentral:rRNA from 1 species